rnacentral:rRNA from 1 species
CAUAUAAUUAAGCGGAGGAAAAGAAACUAACUAGGAUUCCCUCAGUAGCGGCGAGCGAAGCGGGAAGAGCCCAAAAUGAAAAGCCUGCUUGCAGGCGUUGUAUUUGAGCGUUCUUGGGAUGUCAGUGUGGGUAAGUCGCAUGGAAGUGCGUGCCGCGGAGGGUGAGAGUCCCGUCCAGCCCACACAGGACGUUUCCGUACUAGAACGUUUCAGACGAGUCGGGUAGCUUGGGAAUGCUGCUCUAAUCGGUGGUAAAUCUCAUCGAAGGCUAAAUACUGGCUAGAGACCGAUAGCGAACAAGUACCGUGAGGGAAAGAUGAAAAGCACUUUGAAAAGAGGGUAAAAAGAACCUGAAACCGUCAUGGGGGAAGCGGAUUGCGUUAAAUUGGUGGCUGUGUGCAUGUUCAGCCCGUAUGGGUGCAUUGGUGCAUGCGGUUACCCGCCGUGGGCUCUUGGCAGGCGAUUUUGGUCUGCUGGGGGCUGAGGGAUCCCCUUUAUGGGUGAGGACGGUGGGGCAGUGACGCGAUACGACCCGUCUUGAAACACGGACCAAGGAGUCUAGCAUGGUUGCGAGUCGAAGCGUGUAAAAACGUGGAGGCGCAGUGAAAGCGAAAGUUAUAAAAACAGUAACAAGUUGAGGCGGCAUUAGGUCGUUGACCUAAAGUCUGACCCGGAGCAAUUAUGCUGGGACCCGAAAGAUGGUGAACUAUGCCGGAGUAGGGCAAAGCCAGAGGAAACUCUGGUGGAGGCUCGUAGCGGUGCUGACGUGCAAAUCGCUCGUCCAACUUGGGUAUAGGGGCGAAAGACUAAUCGAACCAUCUAGUAGCUGGUUCCCUCCGAAGUUUCUCUCAGGAUAGCGGGCCGACAUUAUGAGUUGUUUUGUGCGGUAAAGCGAAUGAUUAGCGCACUCGGGGGCAAUGAGCCUUCGGGCGAUUCUCAAACUUUAAAUGCGCAAGGGUGCGGCUGCUUUAUUGAGCCGUACCUUUAAAAACGUCGGCCCUGUGGGCCACUUUUGGUAAGCAGAACUGGCGAUACGGGAUGAACCGUAAGUGUGGUUAAGGCGCCAAACUGCUCGCUUAUAGAACCCACAAAAGGUGUUGAUUCAUCGAGACAGCAGGACGGUGGCCAUGGAAGUCGGAAUCCGCUAAGGAGUGUGUAACAACUCACCUGCCGAAUGAAUUAGCCCUGAAAAUGGAUGGCGCUUAAGCGGGCGGCCGACACCACGCCGUGUGACCGAGGAAUGAUGUCACAUGAGUAGGAGGGCGUGGCGGGCGUGGAGAAGCAUGGGCGCAAGCCUUUGUGGAACGGUCCGCUAGUGCAGAUCUUGGUGGUAGUAGCAAGUAUUCAAGCGAGAACCUUGAAGGGCGAAGCGGGGAAGGGUUCCACGCGAACAUUGAUUGGGCGUGGGUGAGUCGUUCCUAAGCCGAGUGGCAAUUGCUAAGUAGCGGCGAAAGGGAAGCGGGUUUAAAUUCCCGCACACGGAUGUGGAGAGCGGUGACGCGAAAUGGGGCGAACACGCUGGCGAUGGCGCUGGGCAGAGUUGUCUUUUCUGUUUGACUGAGUGUGUUGGCUGUGUGGAAUCCGCUUGUCGGGAGAAACACGCUGGCACGGGCAGAGCGCCGGGGCUUUUCCGGCGUCCAGCUCGCCAUCGACGGCCCUUGAAACUUUGCCUGCUGAACAUUUGAUCCACGCCGUGGCGUACCGAUAACCGCAUCAGGUCCCCGAGGUGAACAGCCUCUGCUCGAUAUGAACAAUGCAGGUAAGGGAAGUCGGCAAAUUGGACCCGUAACUUUGGGAAAAGGGUUGGCUCUAGUGCUGCGUGGGAGUGGUUGUCUGUGUGUGGGGAUGCGGUGUGAGCUGGCUUGGCGCGGACGACCUCGCAAGAGGAAGUCUGUUCUGGGCUGCUUGGGCUGUGUCUGCGCCGCGGACGACGCCCACGGCAUGCAGCAGACUAGAACUGCAACGGGCAAAGGGAAUCCGACUGUUUAAUUAAAACAAAGCAUUGAGAAGGCCGUGGGCGGUGAUGACUCAAUGUGAUUUCUGCUCAGUGCUCUGAAUGUCAAAGUGAAGAGAUUCAAUCAAGCGCGGGUAAACAGCGGGAGUAACUAUGACUCUCUUAAGGUAGCCAAAUGCCUCGUCAUCUAAUUAGUGACGCGCAUGAAUGGAUUAACGAGAUUCCUACUGUCCCUAUCUGCUUCUAGCGAAACCACAGCCGGGGGAACGGGCUCGGCGAAAUCGGCGGGGAAAGAAGACCCUGUUGAGCUUGACUCUAUUCUAAUUUUGUGAAGCAAGUUGGGAGGUGUAGCAUAGGUGGGAGAGCUUGCUCGUCCGUGAAAUACCACUACUCCCAGUCUUGCUUUACUUACUGGGUUGGCGUGGAUGUGGUCGGAAGACCCGAUUUUAGCACCAAGCAGACCUGGUCUGUGACUACAGCCCAGAACACAUUUAGGAGGGGAGUUUGGCUGGGGCGGCACAUCUUCUACAAGACAACGAAGGUGUCCAAAGAUAAGCUCAGUGAGAACAGAAAUCUCACGUAGCGCAAAAGGGUAAAAGCUUGUUUGAUUUUGAUUUUCAGUGCGAGUCAAAAACGCGAAAGCGUGGCCUAUCGAUCCUUUCAUGAUUCGAGAUUUGAAGCGAGAGGUGCCAGAAAAGUUACCACAGGGAUAACUGGCUUGUGGCGGCCAAGCGUUCAUAGCGACGUCGCUUUUUGAUCCU